rnacentral:rRNA from 1 species
UGCCAGCAGCCGCGGUAAUACGGAGGGUGCUAGCGUUAUUCGGAAUUACUGGGCGUAAAGCGUAUGUAGGCGGUUCGGUAAGUUGGUAGUGAAAGCCCAAGGCUCAACCUUGGAACUGCUACCAAAACUCCCGAACUAGAAUUCGGCAGGGGAAAGUGGAAUUUCUAGUGUAGAGGUGAAAUUCGCAGAUACUAGAAGGAACACCGGAGGCGAAAGCGACUUUCUAGACCGAUAUUGACGCUGAGAUACGAAAGCGUGGGUAGCAAACAGGAUUAGAUA